UACGUAGGGCGCAAGCGUUGUCCGGAAUUAUUGGGCGUAAAGAGCUCGUAGGCGGUUUGUCGCGUCUGUCGUGAAAGCUUGGGGCUUAACCCCAAGUCUGCGGUGGAUACGGGCAGACUAGAGGCAGGUAGGGGAGAACGGAAUUCCCGGUGUAGCGGUGAAAUGCGCAGAUAUCAGGAGGAACACCGGUGGCGAAGGCGGGACUCUGGGCCGAUACUGACGCUGAGGAGCGAAAGCGUGGGGAGCAAACAGG
rnacentral:rRNA from 1 species